rnacentral:lncRNA from 1 species
CUACAGUAUCCUAAGUGCAAUCAAUGAAGCUAAGGGAAUUUUGUUUUUUAUAAAUAAAUAUUUAAUGCUUCAAGACUACCGAAUGAGACUGUGCAAAGCUACCUAAGGGCUUAUAUGGUUUUAAAGAUUGAGAAAUGUUUACUUUACCACACAGUACCUGCUGUCAUCAGAUACCUCAGUUCUACCUCAAGCCUUUCAUGAAUAUUCUACAAUUUUCACUUUGUGGAUGAAAGUUGAGCUAGCUGUUGUCUUCACAUUCAAGAAAGGAAGGAACAAAGGAAGGGCAACAUCAGGAGAAUCCUACAUGGGGAAUCAGGUUCUCCAUGAACAUCCAUGAAAACAGGAUAAAACUUGGAUGGAAUAAAGAAAGCUUUAAGAUAGCUGAAAGAACACUGCUUAUCAAGAGAAGGCUGCACAGCUACACGCUGGAACUCCC